rnacentral:rRNA from 1 species
ACUCAAAUGAAUUGACGGGGACCCGCACAACCAGUGGAGCGUGUGGUUUAAUUCGAGACGAAACGAAGGACCUCACCAGGGUUUGACAUGCUAUCGUUUAUUUUCCUGGAAACAGGGAGAAAUCCGCAAGGAUGAUAGCACAGGUGCUGCAUGGCUGUCGUCAGCUCGUGCCGUGAGGUGUUCCCUUAAGUGGGGAAACGAGCGCAACCCGCAUCUAAUGUUAAAAUAUUCAUUAGAAACUGACUUUGUUCAAACAAGGAAGGAAGGAGCGGAAGACGUCAAGUCAGCACGGCCCUUAUACCCUGGGCCACACACACACUACAAUGGCGAAAAACAACGAGCCGCAAGCUAGCAAUAGCAAGCAAAUCUCUCAAAUUUCGCCUCAGUUCAGAUUGGGGUCUGAAACCCGACCCCAUGAAGCCGGAAUUGGUAGUAAUCGCGGAUCAGCAUGCCGCGGUGAAUACGUUCUCGGGUCUUGUACACACCGCCCGU